AAAUUUACAAGCUCAGGACAUCAUAAAUUCUAAAAUUCAUAAUGCUUCAUUCACAAAUUACAAAUAAAUUUGCAAUGUCCAGAAUUGAUUGAAAAACAAAAGCCCCAAAUUUGCAAACCAACAACCAACAAUCAACAACAAAACCAACAACACAACUCAAAAUCAUUAACCAAGCACAAUAUUCUUCAACAUUUUCUACAUUAAUCAACAACCAUCCUAAAUUCUUCACGAUAUUCUUCAUAGCUCAAAAACAAAAAAUUCUUCACAAUACUCUUCACCAAAUUAGCCAAUUACAUAUAUUUAGGCAUGAUAUUAUACAAUAAAAAAAUUGAUCCUUAAUUGAGGUGGAGUAUCGGAGUUGGUGAUGGCUUGUUGGUUUGAAUCACGUCGGCACUGGUUUGGGUCGCGUUGGAACAUAUCGGUGCUGCUGCCUCACGCGCAUUGAGUGGUUGCUGCUGCAGCGUCGCGCGACUGUGCUGGGGGUCGGGAGAUGGUGGGUGGCUGAACACUUCACGCUCGCGGUUUUGGACUCUCGCGGCUUGCUGGUGGCCGUUCGCUGCUGUGCUGGACACUGUGGGAUGCUCUGGGUUGCUGGCGGCGUGAACAACGAGAAAUGGGGGAAACCGAAAAUGAGGGAUUUAGUUUAGGAAUUGAUUUUGGUUUCGGGUUCAAGAUCGAUUUGAAUCUAGUAUUCCGUUUUGUUUUUUCUUUUAAUUUUUCAGUUUAU
rnacentral:lncRNA from 1 species